CAGCCGCCGCGGGAAUACGAAGGGGGCUAGCGUUGCUCGGAAUUACUGGGCGUAAAGGGAGCGUAGGCGGGUCGUUUAGUCAGAGGUGAAAUCCCGGGGCUCAACCUCGGAACUGCCUUUGAUACUGGCGACCUUGAGUAUGGGAGAGGUGAGUGGAACUCCGAGUGUAGAGGUGAAAUUCGUAGAUAUUCGGAAGAACACCAGUGGCGAAGGCGACUCACUGGCCCAUUACUGACGCUGAGGCUCGAAAGCGUGGGGAGCAAACAGGAUUAGAUACCCCCGUAGUCCCUGUCUCUUAUAC
rnacentral:rRNA from 1 species